rnacentral:lncRNA from 1 species
AUAUAUAUGUGUUGCCUGUCUUACGCGAUAUUCAAUUGUUUGGUAACUCUUUUUUUUUUCUUAUAAAAUUUUAUAAGCUGUCUAAAGCUCUCAUAUCUUGAUAAUUAUAUUUAAGAAAUUGAUAUUUCUACAUGACUUUUUGAUAUUUUUACAUAAAAUAUAUCGCUAUAAAUAUAUAACAACAGUAAAAAUUGUCGCUAUAAGAUCUAUAGAGUGC